rnacentral:rRNA from 1 species
GACGAACGCUGGCGGCGUGCUUAACACAUGCAAGUCGAACGGAAAGGCCCUGCUUUUGUGGGGUGCUCGAGUGGCGAACGGGUGAGUAACACGUGAGUAACCUGCUCUUGACUUUGGGAUAACUUCAGGAAACUGGGGCUAAUACCGGAUAGGAGCUCCUGCUGCAUGGUGGGGGUUGGAAAGUUUCGGCGGUUGGGGAUGGACGCGCGGCUUAUCAGCUUGUUGGUGGGGUAGUGGCUUACCAAGGCUUUGACGGGUAGCCGGCCUGAGAGGGUGACCGGCCACAAUGGGACUGAGAUACGGACCAGACUCCUACGUGAGGCAGCAGUGGGGAAUAUUGCACAAUGGGCGGAAGUCUGAUGCAGCAGCGCCGCGUGCGUGAUGACGGCCUUCGGGUUGUAAACCGCUUUCGCCUGUGACGAAGCGUGAGUGACGGUAAUGGGUAAAGAAGCACCGGCUAACUACGUG